AUACGGAGGGUGCGAGCGUUAAUCGGAAUUACUGGGCGUAAAGCGCGCGUAGGCGGUUUGGUCAGUCGGAUGUGAAAGCCCCAGGCUCAACCUGGGAAUGGCAUUCGAUACUGCCUGACUAGAGUAUGGUAGAGGGAAGUGGAAUUUCCGGUGUAGCGGUGAAAUGCGUAGAUAUCGGAAGGAACACCAGUGGCGAAGGCGACUUCCUGGGCCAAUACUGACGCUGAGGUGCGAAAGCGUGGGGAGCAAACAGGAUUAGAAACCCGGGUAGUCC
rnacentral:rRNA from 1 species